rnacentral:rRNA from 1 species
GAGUUUGAUCGUGGCUCAGAUUGAACGCUGGCGGCAUGCCUUACACAUGCAAGUCGAACGGCAGCAUGAUCUAGCUUGCUAGAUUGAUGGCGAGUGGCGAACGGGUGAGUAAUACAUCGGAACGUGCCCUGUAGUGGGGGAUAACUAGUCGAAAGAUUAGCUAAUACCGCAUACGACCUGAGGGUGAAAGUGGGGGACCGCAAGGCCUCAUGCUAUAGGAGCGGCCGAUGUCUGAUUAGCUAGUUGGUGGGGUAAAGGCCCACCAAGGCGACGAUCAGUAGCUGGUCUGAGAGGACGAUCAGCCACACUGGGACUGAGACACGGCCCAGACUCCUACGGGAGGCAGCAGGUGGGAAUUUGGACAAGUGGGCGAAAGCCUGAUCCAGCAAUGCCGCGUGUGUGAAGAAGGCC